rnacentral:tRNA from 2 species
GCCCCGGUAGGCCAAUCGGCAGAGCCACGCGCCUCAAGAGCGUGUCAGUGUGGGUUCGAAUCCCACCCGGGGUA